AUUGAACGCUGCGGAAUGCUUUACACAUGCAAGUCGAGCGGCAGCGCGGCCUUCGGGCUGGCGGCGAGCGGCGAACGGGUGAGUAAUGCAUCGGAACAUGCCCAGUCGUGGGGGAUAACACUUCGAAAGAAGUGCUAAUACCGCAUACGUCCUGAGGGGGAAAGCGGGGGAUCGCAAGACCUCGCGCGAUUGGAGUGGCCGAUGUCAGAUUAGCUAGUUGGUGGGGUAAAGGCCUACCAAGGCGACGAUCUGUAGCUGGUCUGAGAGGAUGAUCAGCCACACUGGGACUGAGACACGGCCCAGACUCCUACGGGAGGCAGCAGUGGGGAAUUUUGGACAAUGGGGGCAACCCUGAUCCAGCCAUUCCGCGUGAGUGAAGAAGGCCUUCGGGUUGUAAAGCUCUUUCGGCAGGAACGAAACGGUGGGCUCUAACAUAGUCCGCUAAUGACGGUACCUGAAGAAGAAGCACCGGCUAACUACGUG
rnacentral:rRNA from 1 species